GCGGCCCUGAGCUCACGGGCGUCUCGUGUACUUCUGGGGCGUCUGCCGGCGAGGCACAGCCAGCCCCGUGUUAGGGUCUGAGCCCCUCCGGCUGUCUCGGGUUUAUGGAGACUAUGCUGUGUGCCGUGCCUCCUGCCAGGAGCUGUCAUGCAUUUUGCCGCGUUUGCUCCUCAGCAGCCUGCUGAGUCAGGUGCCAUCGCCCUGAGAGCCCUCGUGUGUCUUGGGCAGGUCUGUGCAGAGGACGCCGUCUCCGACCACGGCUUCGAGUUGGGCUGCCGUUACCUCGCUAAGUGACCUCCAGAAGGCAAGCAGACUUCCUGGGUCUGGGUGUCCCUGUGCGGGAUUGGACCCCGGGACUUUCUUGGGGCCGCAUCCAGACCCCUUUACUGCCUGGUGCCUCCAUCUCCGGCUUCUGGGUGUGCUGGGGGCCAACAGCUCACAGCCACCCCCUUCUCUGAAUAGUUAAUUGUCCUUGGGGAACUGCUGCGCCCUGGAAGUUACCACUCCCCAAACGCCUGGAGCUCAUGACUGAUUGGGGUUGCAGUAUAAAGGCCCAGCUCCUUUGCCUCCAAGAGAGUUGACUCGUGCUAUUUGUGCUCCGAGCUCCUCUGGAAUGAAGUUGAAGGAGUGAGAAUCCAGAAUAAUGAGAGGACAGCCAGCAGGGGAAGGAAGUCCCCGGGAGGCGAGUUGGUGUGAUUGAUGGAUCUCAAGGUGUGAGACUUGUUUGGCUUUGGAAAAUCCUGCCAAACUGUAUCUCAAGGCCAUCUACGCGUUCCAUCGGCGAUGAAGGAGAGCUGUUGUUCCCCACCCUCCAGUGAUCAGGGUCGUCCUUGUGGGAGGAGGGCUGGCCUUGUGCACAGCUGACAGGAGCCUGGCCUCCUCAGGAACCUCCAAGGAUUUGGCUUCGGGACAAUGCAGGGCUGCAUCCACGUUGAGAUGAGCUCGGUUUCCUCAGGACUGGCUGGGAGGUGCCUCCAUGGGAGAAAAAGGUCGUCCAGAACACCCAAGACGGGACUUCCCUGGUGGUGCAGUGGUUAAGAAUCCACCUGCCAAUGCACGGGACGUGGGUUCGAUCCCUGGUCCAGGAAGAUCCCAAAUGCCGC